GGAUUAGAUACCCGGGUAGUCCACGCCCUAAACGAUGUGUGCUAGUUGUCGGGCCCUUUAGGGUUCGGUGACGCAGCUAACGCUUUAAGCACACCGCCUGGGGAGUACGGUCGCAAGAUUAAAACUCAAAGGAAUUGACGGGGACCCGCACAAGCGGUGGAGCAUGUUGUUUAAUUCGAAGCAACGCGAAGAACCUUACCUACACUUGACAUUCCUCUUAGGGCUUUCAGAGAUGAUCGCUUUCGGUUCGGCCGGGGAGAGAACAGGUGCUGCAUGGCUGUCGUCAGCUCGUGUCGUGAGAUGUUGGGUUAAGUCCCGCAACGAGCGCAACCCUUAUCGUAUGUUGCCAGCAUUCAGUUGGGCACUCAUGCGAGACUGCCGGUGAUAAGCCGGA
rnacentral:rRNA from 1 species